CCUGACAGCUCAGUUGGUAGAGAAUCCGCCUGCAAUGCGGGAGACCUGGGUUCGAUCCCUGGGUUGGGA
rfam:TPA: Bos taurus chromosome 10, whole genome shotgun sequence.